UUCAGCAACAAUGAAGAGAAAAAUGACAAGAGGGUGGAGGGAUUUUGGGGAAAGUAAAAAAAAAGAAAAAAAAGAUGAACAGAAUAUUUGAUAUCCACCUCAAUCCCUUAUUUAUCUCUAUCAAACUCCCCACUAAAUCCAUUACUCAGAUUUUUAGUCCAUCUCAAACUCUCUUGGACGCAUAAGCAAAAAUAAUGCCCACACGAAGAUUCGAACACAGGACCUCCUUCAC
rnacentral:lncRNA from 1 species